GAAACAAUAAGGUUCCCUUGUAACAAAUAGGCACCCAAUACAGAGAUUAACAGGGCACUUGCACAAGGAUGAUAUGAAAAUUUGUGAAGUAUUCAAAAUUUUU
ensembl:snRNA U6 U6 spliceosomal RNA